CUUGGAGCCGGUCUCCAGGGCAGAUCUUCCGGGCGACUUGCCCCGUAAGAAAUUAGAAAAUGCUACAAUAAAACCCUAAAAAACCCCAAGAAAAUUAUGUGGGAAGUUUUUUCCUUUUUUUAAUGAACGGCCAAGAGCUGAACACCGUAACCACACACGUCCCUUUAACUGGAAGUCAGCGAAGUAGCGCAGAUCAGGGGAGGAAGAUGGAAAGCCAUCUUUCAUAUUAAAAAUGCCACUGCUAUUACAACUAAAGGAAUCAGAUGGCAGUAGAGUGAGCAUCAGACGGAUUGUGCAGCAGAUCCAUCUUCAGUGCAGAUUUUACAAUAGGAAGAUGAGACGAGCCCCCCACCCCUGCACGGAUUGACUCCCCAGGAAGAGAGAAACGAGUGUGACGGAUCCAUACUGAAUAAAAUGUACAACAGAGUGCGUCAGAAGCCCUGCCAGGCUCCAGCGACUCAAAACUACAGGAACAAAAAGGCAGUUUUGGCACAUAAAAAGCCACCAGUUAUGUUUUCUGACAUAAGCUGCCUUAUGGAGGCAGCUGGUAGGGUUUUUUUUUUUUUUUUUUUGCCUGACUUGCAGAAGUCACAAUUCCAAAAAACAAACAAAUAGACACUUAACAGUGCAUUGGAGAACUGGAACUGCUUAAGGCAGAAGUAAUAAAUAGCAUUUUAGCAACGUGCUGUCUCAGUUUUUUCAAGCAUGUUUGCCAAAUUCUUGUUCUCCAGGUUACACCGUUCUGCUAAUUGUGUUGUGUUGUUUUUUAUUUUUUUAUGCCUGUUUUAUGUCUGGAUGCUGUUGUAACUCCGUCCCACAUUCUCAUCUUGACAAAAUAAUGCAAUUUUUCCACUGCGUGGCAUUUAUUACUGUAAGACAUUAGACACAGACAUCUAAGUGCAGAUGACAUCCACCAAAUUAACAAGAGUAUAAAACCUUUUGUUGCUGAUAAAAAAUCAGCCUCUGUACAAUUUGACUCUCAAGAGAACGCUAAUGACUUGUGACUUGAAAAAACUGGGUUGAUUUUUCUUUUUUUUUUCCUUCCUCCCUCUCCCUCCGUGAGAUGAAACCUUCUGUGCUAAUGAUGUUAGCCAGUUUGAGCACAAUGCUGAUGUGGGAGUCUGUCAUGAGGAUGCACACAACAGCCCUUGCCCCUGGCCUCCUAGUCAAGAGGGAUCUAAACAUUCAGAAGUGACAGUCUGGGCUGUCUCAUGUCAAACCAGGGACCCUCGCUAACACCGGGGGGCUGGCGUGGCUGUGAAUCGAGGUGGAAUGCUACACCGCACUCUUUUGUUUCUGCUGGUGUCACUCACGAACCAGAAAGAAGACACACUCCUCGCAUCAAUCAGGGUCCGGUGUACCUCCCUGCAAUCACAGAUUCCCACAUACAGAGUCCUGCACCAUUAUUGCCAUCCGUUGUAAGGAUGUGUGCAGAGGCCUAAAUUGACUUUUUAUUGCAGUUUUAUAGUAUCAUGUUGCACAAUUUGUGCAGAUCGCGAACACUGAGCCUCGAAGAAAUACACUGUGCGUACAUAUUUUUUUAUUCCCUCCCUUUUGUAACAGCAUUAAAGAGUGCCUUUGAGCAGGUUGCUUGUAGUAGCAUGGAGCAAAGUUAAGUGAGAUUCAGUUGAAGUCCAGAGUAAUACUGCUUGUCUAACCACAAAACAACAACAUAACUGAGCACAGUAAGCUUAAUUGGCUUUUGUUGUAUGUUAAUGAAACUAAUCAUAAAGGCCAACUGGCUCUAACAUGAGGCCUUGACACCCCCUCUGCUCUCUCCCCACUCCUUGUGGCUCCGAUAAACUUUUAGAAAAGAUGGAGUUCCUCUCCUAGACAGUCUGAGGAAAAUUAAACCACCAAAAUUGUUUUCAUUGGUUAGCGGGGAUAAUCUCAGGGGACUUUAAGGCUUUUAAUUGAACUAGUGAGAAGAAAUUUGUAUGACUGUUUGCCAACAACAUUGGUGUGUCUGCUUUCCACUUCUGCCCCCUCUCAAAGAAAGACGCAGUAACUCAGGUAUAGUUAUUAUAUAAAGUAAGGGUGAGCUCAGUAACUAUAUGUGUGUUCUUCCUUUCUUUCUAAAGGUGUAACUCGAUAACAAAAUGGUACCGUAUUUCUGUUUAUUCUGUUUUAUUGAUAGGUAUUACAGUGCACCCCUGAUAUAAAAUUGACAGAUUUAAGUGUCUAUAUCUGAGACUUUUAUUUUAAAGUAAAAAAAAGAAGCAGUUCUAAAGUUGUUGUAUGUUCAUAUAACUGGUAAGACUCAUCUUCAAGUUACUAAAAAAGUAGGGAAUUCCCUUUUAGUAGGUAUUUACAUUGAACUAUUUUGUGUGACAGCAAUGUGCUCAAUUUGGAAAAAAAGUAAAAUAAAAAACAAAAACAGACAAGAUAAUUUCCAACGUAAAAACACUGUCAAUGUCAAAUCUUUAGCAGCUAACACUGCUAAGGUUAGCAUUGGCUUCAAGCUAAACUUAAAGUUUGUUUUUCAGUUUUUAACCUCUAAAUAGUUUUGCCCAAAACACUUACCAGUUAGACGUUGGUUCUGUGAAAUCCUCAUGAGUUAAGAAGUUAAGGAAUCUGGGUUACACCUUAGUCAACACUCAACAGACUUUAUUUAGCAUUGUUUAAGAGUGUUUCACUCUUUUUCUAUUUGUAAAACCUUAGAGGCACUUUUAAUUGUAAUUCAUUUCAUUACAAGCAAACAAGCCACAACAACAAAGUAGUUAAAAGUUAGUUAAAAAUGGGAAGAGGAGCAAAAAAAAAAAAAAAAAAAUCAAAUCAAGAAAUACAGAAUUGUAACUGAGCUUUUUUUCUCCUAAGUCUUGAAUAAUAAAGUUUAGAAUAAAUAUGACUGACAAGAGGGUAGUGGUUUAUAAACAUGCAGCGACUGGCUAAUAGGUAACAUGAAGCGAAAGUUACCUAAAAGGAACUUUAGCUUCAUUAAACUAAACUAAAAGGAUUGUCAAACUGUUUUUUAAACCACACUGCAUUUAAUAAUCUACUUCAGAAUCAAUAUGAAUCAAAAAUGUACUUGUACACUGAAGAGACAGUUAAAGAUGUUUCUGCCUCUGUGUCAUCUUUUACUGCCAUUCCCAUUUUGAGUACCUUUUUUAUGUUUGCAAAUAACAAACAUGUAGCAUUUCCCAGCAUUGUUUGAUAUUAGGCCACAUUAGUAAUAGAAAAGCAUAAAAACCUUCCAUACACAGACUGCUCAAACCUGGACACUUUUUACAAAUUCUUUGAAAUGCAGCAUAUAAUCUGUAAAGUCUUUUUGUGAAAUCAGAAGGAGUGCGUUCUUAUUUUUCCCAAAUAUGUAUAUUGUCAAAAUGUUGUCCUUUCUCUUAUUUUUGAAUACAGUAUUGUGUAUUGGCUCGUGAGGUGAAGCUAUCAUCCUAUGUCUAAUUUGUUUUCCAUUCGUAGAUCUUAAUCACAAUGGAAAAUAAAUGUUGGUAAUUCAAAGUCAAACUCUGCCUUUUUAGUAUUUUGGUUUUCAGGAUUUGUUCAAAGAGGUCCAAUGAUUCUGUAACACAGCAGUUUAUUCAGUCAGGCAUAAAAGUAAAUACAGCUCGCAGUCUGCCGUAGAAAAGAUAAUUUGUCUCACUGAGAAAAACACCAACUCAUAAACUCAGAUUAGUA